UUGCUCCCCGGGGACAGUGGCGAACGGGUGAGUAACACGUGAGUAAUCUGCCCUCGAGCGGGGGAUAAGUGCGCGAAAGCGGAGCUAAUACCGCAUGAAACUUUGGAGCAUAAGCUUUCAAAGUCAAAGCUUUCGGGUGCUUGAGGAUGAGCUCGCGGCCUAUUAGCUUGUUGGUAGGGUAACGGCCUACCAAGGCAACGAUGGGUAGCCGGCCUGAGAGGGUGUUCGGUCACACUGGGACUGCGACACGGCCCAGACUCGUGGGGGAGGCAGCAGUGGGGAAUUUUGCGCAGUGGGCGACAGCCUGACGCAGUGACGCCGCGUGGAGGAUGAAGGUUUUCGGAUUGUAAACUCCUGUCAGAGGUGAAGAAAGCCCUUAUGGGUCUGACGGUAACCUCAGAGGAAGCCCCGGCUAACUACGUGCCAGCAGCCGCGGCAAUACGUAGGGGGCAAACGUUGCUCGGAAUUACUGGGCGUAAAGGGUGCGCAGGUGGCUGAGAAAGUCGUUGAUGACAUCCCGGGGCUUACCCCCGGAACUGUCUUCGAUACUUCUCAGCUUGAGGAUAGUCGAGGAGAACGGAAUUCCCGGUGGAGCGGUGAAAUGCGUAGAUGUCGGGAGGAACACCAGAGGCGAAGGCGGUUCUCUAGGCUGAUCCUGACACUGAGGUACGAAUGCUAGGGGAGCGAACGGGAUU
rnacentral:rRNA from 1 species